CCAAAGCAGCAGACUUCUGUUCUAGAGACCAAAACAUCCCUAACAGAUCACUCUUCCCAUGAUGACUCCAACAAAGAUGCUGUCGUCACACAGGUAUUUACCAUCAAAGGGUUUUCCCUAGUGAACUAUCCCGAAAGUGAUGAGACGGAUGAGUAUAUUAAAGACAACCCUCCAACUCCACACUGUGAUGUUGUUCGAAAGAAGACGAGGAAUGGAAACAUUCAGGUGGUUGGAGUAGCUGAUUUUUCUGAUCCUCUGAUUGACUCAAAUGAGAGUAUAAUAGAUGAAACUGAUGAGGAUUCUAGUCUGCAGUCAGACAAUGAAGUUGUUCCAAAAAAU